AACGAACGCUGGCGGCAUGCCUAACACAUGCAAGUCGAACGAGACCUUCGGGUCUAGUGGCGCACGGGUGCGUAACGCGUGGGAACCUGCCCUUAGGUUCGGAAUAACUCCCCGAAAGGGGUGCUAAUACCGGAUAAUGUCUUCGGACCAAAGAUUUAUCGCCUUUGGAUGGGCCCGCGUUGGAUUAGCUAGUUGGUAGGGUAAAAGCCUACCAAGGCGACGAUCCAUAGCUGGUCUGAGAGGAUGAUCAGCCACACUGGGACUGAGACACGGCCCAGACUCGUCCGGGAGGGAGAAGGGGGGAAUAGGGGAGAGGGGGGUAGGGUGUGACGCAGCUAUGCCGCGGGAGUGAGGAAGGCGGUAGGGUGGGAAAGCCCCGUGACCCGGGCUGACAAUGACAGGACCGGGAGAAGAAGCGCCGGCUAACUCCGUG
rnacentral:rRNA from 1 species